CAAGACUAGUGUGGUUCUAAACGGAAGUACAGCAAAAUCUAGUUAUCAUUUCUGGAAUCUACAAAAUCCUUAGGCUGAGCAGACUUUUGUGACACAUGACUUAUGAAGCGCAAUGCAAUACACAGAACAGGAGCAACUUACCUCUGAUAGACCUGACAUGACAGGCAAGAGAGAGAAGUUUGAGCAGAAGUUUGAGCAGCCAACUGCCAGUUCCAUUUUUCUAGGACCCUCCCUAGCAAGGCAAUGUGGAGAUAAGGUAAACCGUCACCUUAGUUUUGCAGUUUCCUAUGGUUAUUUAAGUUACAUGGAUGUGUCUCUUCAGUUUCCAUUCUGCAGUGUUGAGUAAAUGUUCAAGCAUUUAGCAGGCAAGAACAGGGCUUCAAAGUAGUUAUGCCUUCAAAAAGCUCUGAUGUACUCACAAAGGAUUAAUAAGAGAUUAUUGGAAAGUUUCAUAUUAAGUACCGUGGGUUCAUUAUAUUUAGACACUGAAUGAAGCUGAUCUCUGUCAGAAUUGUUCGCUAGGACUGAACUCUGAAAAACAGCACCAGGGCAAGCUGACAUGCAUGAGGACAUGCCCUCAGUGCAAGAAUGGAAUGUUUAAAAUUC
rnacentral:lncRNA from 1 species